rnacentral:lncRNA from 1 species
GGAAGUCGUCGUCGAAGACGAGGCUGCGGGCGUGAGCACAGCGACACCGGCAGAGGAUCCACCGCGCGGCGCGGCGCCUGCCGAAAGGGUGGCCGCUGCACCUGUGUUGCAGCACCCUGUUCGGCCACCACGUCGACAGCGACCGCGACGGGUGGAUACCCUGACUACGAUGUCGUCGCAGUGUGCCCGCAGCCUGGAA